rnacentral:misc_RNA from 1 species
GAUGAAGAACGUAGCGAAAUGCGAUAAGUAGUGUGAAUUGCAGAAUUCAGUGAAUCAUCGAAUCUUUGAACGCACAUUGCGCCCCUUGGUAUCCCGAGGGGCAUGCCUGUUCGAGCGUCAUUUCACCACUCAAGCCUGGCUUGGUGUUGGGCGACGUCCUCUUUGGGGACGCGCCUCGAAACGCUCGGCGGCGUGGCACCGGCUUUAAGCGUAGCAGAAUCUUUCGCUUUGGAAGUCGGGGCCCCGUCUGCCGGAAGACCUGCUCGCAAGGUUGACCUCGGAUCAGGCAGGGAUACCCGCUGAACUUAAGCAUAUCAUAAGCGGAGG